GAAAAUUUAGUUAAUUAAUAACAAUAGUAUGUCAAACUAAAAUAAUCAAUUUGAUAUUUUUCU
rnacentral:tRNA from 1 species